GAUAUAAGUCGUAACAUGUUGCUGUUGGAGAACCAUUAGCAGGAUCAUAAU
rnacentral:rRNA from 1 species